rnacentral:rRNA from 1 species
GUCCCACGAUAGUCGCUCCAUUCGCGUAUAUUAAAGUUGUUGCGGUAAAAAAGCUUCGUAGUUGGAUUUUCUGUUGAGGACGACCGGUCCGCACCAUGUGCGCGCAUCUGGCUCGGCCUCGGCAUCCUCUCGAAAGACGUUUCUGCGCUUGAUUGCGUGGGGCGGAUCUCGAGACUUUUACUUUGAGGAAAUUAGAGUGUUCACGGCAGGCUAUCGCCAGAAUACAUUAGCAUGGAAUAAUACUAUAGGAUCUCGAUUCUAUUUUGUUGGUUUCUAGAAGCGAGAUAAUGAUUAAUAGGGACAAUUGGGGGCAUUCGUAUCAACACGUCAGAGGUGGAAUUCUUGGAUUGUGUUGCGACGAACUACUGCGAGAGCAUUUGCCAAGGAUGUUUUCAUUGAUCAAGAACGAAAGUAAGGGGAUCGAAGACGAUUAGAUACCGUCGUAGUCUUUACCAUAAACUAUGCCAACUAGAGAUGGGGCAUCGUUCACUUACGACUUGCUCCGCACCUUAUGAGAUAUCAAAGUCUUUGGGUUCCGGGGGGAGUAUGGUCGCAAGGCUGAAACUUAAAGGAAUUGACGGAAGGGCACCACCAGGAGUGGAGCCUGCGGCUUAAUUUGACUCAACACGGGGAAACUCACCAGGCCCAGACAUAAUAAGGAUUGACAGAUUGAUAGCUCUUUCUUGAUUUUAUGGGUGGUGGUGCAUGGCCGUUCUUAGUUCGUGGAGUGAUUUGUCUGCUUAAUUGCGUUAACGAACGAGACCUUAACCUGCUAAAUAGAAGCGCAUAUUCUCGGAUAAGCGCCUUUCUUCUUAGAGGGACUUUAUGCGUUUCAGCAUGAGGAAGUUUGAGGCUAAAACAGGUCUGUGAUGCCCUUAGAUGUUCUGGGCUGCACGCGCGCUACACUGAUGCGUUCAACGAGUGUACAACCUUGCCCGAUAGGGUUGGGUAAUCUUUUGACACGCAUCGUGAUGGGGAUAGAUUAUUGCAAUUAUUAAUCUUCAACGAGGAAUUCCUAGUU